CACCCGUGUCUCACCCCACUCCCACCCUAGUGGCCCAGCCGCCAAACGAACCCUAGCCCUCUUUCUCCUUCCCCUCGAUCCCCACGAGCCGCCGCACCCCUCCCUCGAUCCCCAGUUCCCCAUGAUCCUCUCCUAGCCCGCAGCCGCCGGUCUUGUCUCUCCACUCUACCAUGUCGUCGUCGAUCCCACCGCCGGCCUUCUCCUCUGCUUGCUUCCUCCGGUCCUCUUCCAUGUCGCCGUCGAUCCAGAGCGGCGGCGGGGUCUGCGCGGUGCGGGUGGGGAUGUAGGGGAGGGGUGGGAUGCAGACGAUGGCGAGGAAGGCAAGCAACAGCGGGGAAUGAGCAGGUGAGCGAUCCUUGCGUGGGGAAGGGGCAGGGUGGGGCCUCACGCACCUGCCGGCGGCCGGCGGGAGCUUGAGCUCGAGACGAUGGAGGUGCUAAGGCGGGGCAGGAGAGGACGGCUCGCCGACGAGCUCGAGUUGGAGGCGGUGAGAUCUUUUCCUUCAUGGCUUCCCACCCGCUGAGCUCGUUGGUCCUCCUCCCUCCCCCGUGCGGCCGGCCUCGUCCUUCGUCCCUCGACCGUGCUGUGACAUUGCUUCCUCAAUUGGUCGCCGCCUCGUCUCGCCUGAACACGAUGCUGUCCGGGGCAGCGCCGGCACCGAGGCACCACCUCUGCCUCCACCCCCACGGGGCAAAGAGCUCGAGGUGUUUGGGGGUUUCUUGUCCCUGAUGUCAUGUUGUGAUUGGUGCAGCCGCUGGAUGAGAAAGCAUAGGAUUCAGGAAAGCAACUGCAAGAGACGGAGAAGACGUCCCCAUGGCUUCUACGAGGACCAGAAGCGUAUGCCUAUUAUUAGAGCUUGGAUAAGGGUAGGUGAUGCAAGGGGUCUCGUCCUAAAAUCAUCUUUGUUGGUUUGGAUGAUUUUGCAAGUUUCUUUCAGCAGCCUGGGGUUAAGAAGAGGGUCGGGAUUGCCCUGGGCAGAUGCUUAAAUUCCUGGAUGUAAACGCACACUUGCCUCCUACACAGGCCAAAAUACUAUUGGAGAUAAGGAUACUUGUUUUGCAUAUUUGCAUCUCGAAGAAGCUUGCCCACUAUUGUAAGUCUGACAUUUUCUUGCUUGCUUGUGGAAAAACUGGUUCUCGUUCAGUUAUGCUUGUCAGUUUGAUAGAAGAUGGACACCCCUCUUCAAGUUGGUUUAUGGGCUUGCGGAGUGUGAGAAACCCCUGGUAUGCCUCCAUCCUUCGUCCCUUGCUCCGUGGCCUGGAUGUCGAGGGAGGGCGAGAGGUGGUGAUAUGCAGGGGUGAGGGAGAUGGAGGCGGUGACCUGCAGCUCCUGUUGAAGGGGCGGAGAAGAGGGGCAAGUCAGAUUUUUACUACUGGGGAGCAUCAACCUUCUUCCCCCAUGAUUGCUACUUUGUUGGCACAUGCUUUCUAGAAUGCUUUCCAUAAGUGGUCCGCAGCUGGGCCUGAAAGAAAUUCAUGACUGGAUGGCAAUGGAACACUAAAUAACCUGGCAACGGAUACCCUGUGGUCUACCAUUAUAAUUAUGUGUGCAUUUUGGAUCUAUUGGAUGUCUGAAUGUAAUGCUAAUCGACAUUUACUGAUGCAAAGAUUUUGCAGGGAUGUAGAUAUAUAUGGUGAUGUUUCACUACGAUCUAAGUGUUUCAGUUUAUAUUUAGCAGGAUCACAUGUUGACCAAUGACUCUUUGCAACUCAGGAGUGAAGAUGGCCUUCCUUUGGUUGGUGUAGUGAAUGAAUUUUCUUCUAAUUCAGGCCAUGGUUGAUACCGCUCGGCGGCUGGAUCUGCCAUGGAGUGGCUACCAUGGGCCAACUAGAGCUGGGUGUCCCUGUUUCCGACCUCAAGGCGAAGGACUGAGCAAGAGGAGGAACUUCGUCGACCCAGCCGUGAGCAAAUGAUGCUCUGACGAGUCGAUCAGGACCGUCAUGGAGAUCUGCCCACGGGGCCUCACCAAGGAACCAACACUGAGGCCAUUAGACAAGGACGUCCUAUGGAACCUGCAGUUUGCAGCCCUGGUGUAGGAUGAGUCCCCGCUCUCAUCAUCGCAGAUCCGUGCACAAUCCGCAGAGUACUAACCUCUAGGCAGGCUGAGAAAAAUAUUGGCAAGCAUUACCAUUAUGAUCCUCCCUUGAUCAUCAUUGUUGAAGGAAAACGUAUUAGAGAUGGUAUUUUCAAGCUAAAUGUACCAGCAGCCGAUGAUGGACCUUGUGAUGCAUAUAGUUUGCAUAUUUCUCUUCAUCCAGUUUCUUCAUCCAUUUUUUUCUGUUCGCUCAUUUCUUCUAGCGUAUUCCUAGCAGUAUUUUUCAGUUGAAGGAUAGAUGGUCUAAUUACCAAACGAAUGUGUAGGCAAUGCCCAUUUGAUUAGUUAUAUCCAUGUAGUCUAUGUUUGAUAGCAUAGUAUUGUAAAAACCAAAGAAUUUUAAAGCUACAGUAUUUGCUCCUAUAGGUACAAGAUACCACGGUAAUAAUAUACCAGAGUAUUUAGGAGUAUUGGGAAUAAUGCAUACCUGUUACACUAGAGCUUAUAUGUAAAGUAAAUUAGCAACUGGCCAUUUGUUAACAGUCGCACACAUGUUUGUACCCCGCUCGCUGGCCGUUGCGAACUGAACAACUAUGCACAAGAGCAAGCCCCAGCCGCAUGCACAAACUUGAAUGUCUAUAUGCAUUAAACGGCCAUACACAAAGCUAGCUUAUACAACAAGAGGAGUUGAACUAGGUUGAGUUGCUGCUUCACAUGGCCUGGAACGCUAGGCCAUGUUCUGCAUGUCGUCGCAGGCACCACGGGAGCGUCUUGGCCUUCUUUUGUGUCACCAUCGAGAGGUAGCAGGAAAUGUGCGUCGAGAGGCACUUGAAUACGCAUGUGGAUUGUUUUCAGCAUGGUAUUCUCAAAAAGGUGGUAUUCUCAAAAUACAUAGAAAAUGCUUUGCUAUCGAAUAGGGCUAUAAAUGCAGAUUUCCUUGAAGAUAGUAUAUUUUAUAACUGUAUUGCCAACGUGCUCCCAUAGUUUUAUCACCACAAAAUAGUUCUAACUGCUCAUUUAAUUUUCAGUGGCAUGCAUGGGUGGUUGUAGUGCAGUUUUAUUAAUCUGCAUGCAUUUUCUCUGUUGAUAUACUAUCUCAAUAAAUAAUGAAUACGUAUAAUAUAUGCAAGCUACAUUCAAUUAGUUUUGAUACUAUUCCCUUGAUAGUUUGUUACAUUUGAGGAGUUAGGGUACAAACGCCUGAAUAAACUGAGGAGCACUGUGAAACAAUUGCAAUUCGGGUAGCAAAUACACUUGAUGCGUUGUUCCCUUUUUUGAAUUGUUCAUAUGUUUACAACCACUUUGUUUUACUCAAAUGUCGAUUUGAAAUCUGUAAGCAUUAUUUCCGGAUGUGUUUGUCCUUUUGUUCUUACGUAUAUCUCUUGUGCUGUUAAUCUAAAUUACAACUUCGAAUGCUACAUAUUGUAUAGGCAGAGAGGGAUUUAAUGGUUAACAGCUCUUUGUGCCCUGGAUUAAUUUGUACUGGUUCAGGGGCUAUCUUGUGUUGCUGGAUGUGCUAUUAAAGAGGAUUUUAAUUUGGUUUUCCAACCAGUGUGUCUGGGUAAGAUGAAUUGGUAAUAUUCAGCUAGCUGGAGACGGAACUACCGCUGCAAUCACUAUUGGAGACGGAACUACCGCUGUCACAUGCCGCUUUAUCAAGGGUGUUGACAAAAGGGCCACCAUCACUAGAGGCUGGAGUGGCUUCUUCCGUCAGGCACACAUUAAGAAAGGUCAAGCAUAUGCUUUCGCCUUCAAAUGCACUUUCAAGGGGCUGUGCUUGAUCGUCUACUCAAUAUAAACAGGUAGCAAGAGCCCCUUGUUAUAUAACUUAGCAUUAGUAUAGAUGCCUAACAAGACUUAUAUGUUUAUCAUCCUUUUGAAUCUUAUUUAAUCACCUAAGACCAUCAUGUACGUUUAACUCUCGGUCAUUUGCUAUUUAGGCUGCUGUGUGGUAAGCCUAUCUACAUGCCUGGCUCAUAACAUUGUAAAUGGUCAUUUGUAAGCUUAUUAGAGAACAUGUAUCAUCAGCAACCAUUUAUCUAUCAUCAAAUGGUACUUAUUUCCAUA